rnacentral:rRNA from 1 species
UACAGAGGUCUCAAGCGUUGUUCGGAUUCAUUGGGCGUAAAGGGUGCGUAGGCGGCGCGGUAAGUCGGGUGUGAAAUCUUGGAGCUUAACUCCGAAACUGCAUUCGAUACUGCCGUGCUUGAGGACUGGAGAGGAGACUGGAAUUUACGGUGUAGCGGUGAAAUGCGUAGAUAUCGUAAGGAAGACCAGUGGCGAAGGCGGGUCUCUGGACAGUUCCUGACGCUGAGGCACGAAGUCCAGGGGAGCAAACAGG